rnacentral:rRNA from 1 species
GUCGAGAAUUUUUCACAAUGGGGGAAACCCUGAUGGAGCGACGCCGCGUGGAGGAUGAAGGCCCUCGGGUUGUAAACUCCUGUCAUGCGGGAACAAGAAAGUGAUAGUACCGCAAGAGGAAGAGACGGCUAACUCUGUGCCAGCAGCCGCGGUAAUACAGAGGUCUCAAGCGUUGUUCGGAUUCAUUGGGCGUAAAGGGUGCGUAGGUGGCGAUGCAAGUCUGGUGUGAAAUCUCGGAGCUCAACUCCGAAAGUGCACCGGAUACUGCGUUGCUAGAGGAUUGUAGAGGAGAGUGGAAUUCACGGUGUAGCAGUGAAAUGCGUAGAUAUCGUGAGGAAGACCAGUUGCGAAGGCGACUCUCUGGGCAAUUCCUGACACUGAGGCACGAAAGCCAGGGGAGCAAACGGGAUUAGAUACCCUUGUAGUCC